CGGUAAUCCAAUUACUGAACACAAAGUAGC
rnacentral:piRNA from 1 species